rnacentral:lncRNA from 1 species
ACUUUUUUCAAUUAAGAGCUAUAUUUUACACAUUGUCAUGGUACAAAAUGAAAACUAUGCAACUUACUAUAAAACUGAUUACAUAUUUAAUAUCAGCAUAAAAAACUAUGUGAACAGCUAAAAUUUUAUUGCCCUAGGCUACAGAUUAAAGAAACUUUUUUUUCGAGUAGCAUCUCCCC